GUCACGGUUGACUUGAAAGAAAUUUGCAGUUUGAAAUGGGUUUAAGGUCGCGGAGUCUAACAAAGUUGCUACCUAGCGCUUUUCUCACGUUAACCAGAUUAACUCCUGAAGAGGCUAAUGAACGGCAGAAAAGGAUGGAGUCUCGUUUAAACCACUGUUUCUUAUCCUAAUUGCAAUAUUUUUCAACGUGUGUCAGUUGGAUCUAAAUUCCACUGACCCCAUUGAAAAAAAAAUGAUGACUUUGAAGAUUCUCAACA